rnacentral:rRNA from 1 species
GAUGAACGCUGGCGGCGUGCCUAAUACAUGCAAGUCGAGCGAACGGACGAGAAGCUUGCUUCUCUGAUGUUAGCGGCGGACGGGUGAGUAACACGUGGAUAACCUACCUAUAAGACUGGGAUAACUUCGGGAAACCGGAGCUAAUACCGGAUAAUAUUUUGAACCGCAUGGUUCAAAAGUGAAAGACGGUCUUGCUGUCACUUAUAGAUGGAUCCGCGCUGCAUUAGCUAGUUGGUAAGGUAACGGCUUACCAAGGCAACGAUGCAUAGCCGACCUGAGAGGGUGAUCGGCCACACUGGAACUGAGACACGGUCCAUACUCCUACGGGAGGCAGCAGUAGGGAAUCUUCCGCAAUGGGCGAAAGCCUGACGGAGCAACGCCGCGUGAGUGAUGAAGGUCUUCGGAGCGUAAAACUCUGUUAUUAGGGAAGAACAUAUGUGUAAGUAACUGUGCACAUCUUGACGGUACCUAAUCAGAAAGCCACGGCUAACUACGUG